GAUAAACGCUGGCGGCAUGCAUGAGACAUGCAAGUCGAACGAAGGAUCGGGCUUGCUCGAUCCUUAGUGGCGGACGGCUGAGUAACGCGUAGGUGACCUACCCCGAAGUGGGGAAUAACUGCCCGAAAGGGCGGCUAAUACCGCAUGUGGUCGCACGUUCAUUCGUGCGAGUAAAGCCGCAAGGCGCUUCGGGAGGGGCCUGCGUCCGAUUAGCUCGUUGGUGGGGUAAUGGCUUACCAAGGCGACGAUCGGUAGGUGGUCUGAGAGGACGAUCACCCAGACUGGGACUGAGACACGGCCCAGACUCCUACGGGAGGCAGCAGUCGGGAAUUUUGCUCAAUGGGGGAAACCCUGAAGCAGCAACGCCGCGUGAGGGAUGAAGGCCUUCGGGUUGUAAACCUCUUUUGUCAGGGACGAUGAUGACGGUACCUGGCGAAUAAGCCACGGCUAACUACGUG
rnacentral:rRNA from 1 species